rnacentral:rRNA from 1 species
GCAGGGAAUAUUGCACAAUGGACGGAAGUCUGAUGCAGCGACGCCGCGUGAGUGAUGGAGGCCUUCGGGUUGUAAAACUCUUUUCGGGAGGAAGAGCGAGGACGGUACUCCCAGAAAAAGCGUCGGCUAACUACGUGCCAGCAGCCGCGGUAAUACGUAGGACGCGAGCGUUAUCCGGAUUUACUGGGCGUAAAGCGUCUGUAGGCGGUGGGGUAAGUUGGGCGUGAAAGCUCCGGGCUUAACUCGGAGAGUGCGUUCAAUACUGCUGAACUAGAGGGCGUAAGAGGGGAGCGGAAUUUCCAGUGUAGCGGUAAAAUGCGCAGAUAUUGGAAGGAACACCCGUGGCGAAGGCGGCUCCCUGGUGCGCACCUGACGCUGAGAGACGAAAGCUAGGGGAGCGAACAGGAUUAGAAACCCUAGUAGUCC